UCAAACCAUUUAACCUUCUAACCCAUCAAGUUAAAUGAGUUUAUGGGUUGACUCAUUUGCUAAAUGAGUUGAGUCAACCCAUGAACUCAUUUAACUCUAAACUCAUUGGGUAAUGAGU
rnacentral:pre_miRNA from 1 species